UCGAAUUAGGAUUUUGCAAAUAUUCGUAAAAUUCGGUUUUCACGGACAAGAAUACCAUAAUCUUCUUUGCUAGUCCUUUUAUUCCUCGAUAUCUUUGUAUUAUUCUAGUUCGGAUAAUAGCCACGCGUCUAUGGAUUGAGAAUGUAUUGGCACGUUGAAUUUUUAGGUAACUACAGUGUCUAAUAUUAGUUUCUCGUGUGCUUUGUAUGACAUUACGGAAAUAGCAUUUCUAUGUAUGGUCCUAAUUCAAUGGACAAUGGAUAUUUUCCAGAAAAUAAUGAUGGUUUCUAUAAUAACGUACCAAUUCAAAAGUUCUUGGCCGGAACAUCAUUCUUAUAACGCACUUUGACCUUGUUCUCAUCAGUAUCGCACAAGGCGAAACGAACGCACGGUCACGCAUGGUUACCGUUGAAUACGUAAAAUACGUCACUCUCAUGAAGUCAUCAAAGCUAUUGCCGCAUAUUGUUGUAUAAAUUCUAUGCCCGCACGGUGUACAUGAUACCUUCUCAUAUUUAAUUUUCAGUAAAUUUCGUAUUCUCGAUGAAAUUAUCGUCAAUGUAAAAUUUCAGUUCAGUUAUGAAAAAACAUAUUGCGCGACAGACCCUUUAGAAGCUACAGAGCAGGUUAUUCUGAAAGGAUCAGUUUUAUCGAAGUGACAAUUACAUGAUAGCGAACAGUGUUUCGAUAUAAAUAAUAAAGUGCAGCGUGAAGAACGUGUAAUAAUGUGAUCAACGAAGCCAAACGAAAUUACAUUAUACCGAAUGAAAAGAUCGUGAAGCGGUUUAACUAGCAGUUUCCGAGCGUAUAAUGAAAAAUUUGAUGGUAAUUUCAUCAGCGAACCGACCAUAAAAAUGAGUACGCUCGAACACACUGAUCGCUUUAAUCCCACGAUAAUGAAUAAGGAUGCACGAAACGAGGACACAUCCAUGUAUCGCAUUGAUUUACGUUAAAGGAAGCUGAUGGUCCCGCGGCAUCGGAAGCAUAACGAAAAAAAGGGGCAAGAAGAGGCGUCGUCUCUCGUUGCGUUCACGGCAAACAGCCCAUAAGCGGACAUACCAAUUUCACAUCUCGUCUCGAAUGAGAUGGUAGGGGGAUGAUACGAAUGCAUAUACAGAAUGUAUAUGAUGUCAUGGACUGUUUCGUUCGGUUUACUCAUGGCAAGGGUAAAGUCUCCUCGCGGACAAUUCUUAAUACCGCGAUAAAUAUUCGAGAGUGUUGGUAAGAACCACGGAGAUACGAGUACGUAGCCAGCCGUACGCGUACGUAAGUAGACGACAGAUCGCGUUUCUCCGUAUACGACCAUGACACUAAAUUACAGACUUAUACAGUGGUUGUCAAUCUGCAUUUACAAGUAAGAUCGUACCAUAUACGCGCGACGCGACGCAAUUAAUCAUCUUUUUCGUGUACUUGAGAAACCAGACUGCCCAGACCCAAUUCAAAGCGUCAUUGUCAUGCCGAGUGAAAAGGGAGCCCAGAAUUAGGACACUUGAUGCAAACACGAAAUAUGUAUCAAGGCAGAUUUCGUUGUCACAAAAGGUGACAGUCACCCGCUACGGUGUUGAUAUCAAUAGAAAUGUAAUUACGAUCUUGAUAUUAAUUUUGCGACGAAUUGAAUCAUGGUCAGGGAUGAAUUGGUGCAUGACAGCCGAUACGAUGUAAUUUUGUUCGUUGAUUCAGGCAUAAGAUGAGACCAUAUGAUACGGAAAACUGUCGGGAGCUAUCGAUAACCGCGCGCGGAGCAGACCACAGGCGGCAUUGGCACGCACGUAAGGGUCCCCUUAUCUCGGGAACAGAAACCACGGGGUCAAUACGCCACCGCUUUGUAAUCAGCCGCGUACCAUGCACGCUUAAACGGAUAAUCAUAUUGACCGCUCGCCAAUAUUAACAUUUUUCGGAAAGCUAUUGCAAGGAAUCAGCCUGCUAGCCUACAUAUUGCUCGAGUGCCCUCACACGCGAGCUCUAUCUUCUUCGCAUAGAGUUUUAUCGAGAUCAACGAAACAACGGGGAUCGUGCUUAUACAAGGACGCAUCCACGCGGACGGAUACACAUAUACUCGUAUAUCUCUCUAGCGUUGCAGAUGCGGUUACCAGAGAGAGAGUAUUGAUGAAACAAUAGAAAGUACAUGAACGCGGUACUGAAAGAACAGACCAUAUCGCGAUCCACAUACGCUCGGAAUGCGAAUGGUUGAAGUAAAUGCGAUGAAAAUCGAUCACAAUUGUCGCAUGAAUGCACCCUUAUAUUCGAGGCACGAUGUAAUAGAGGAUAUAUGUAUAAGCACGAUAGAUUACCGUUUAAAUAUGAAUAACUCCGUUUCUAUUUUCACUUUUGUUUUUUUGAAGAAAAAUUAAUUGCGUUAAUUGAUCGAUACUUUCGUGCACUUUAAGGUCUUCAAAGGAAAUGCUACUCUUAUAUAUGAGGAAAUCGGAUCAUGUGUAGAGCCCCUGUAUAGCGGCAACCGUUAUUACACCGCUGUCGGCUGUAUGGUAGCAUCAUUAGCGUUGUUUUUGUACGAAUCAAAUUUCAAGAAACUAGAAGACUGUAGAAAUUGCGCUUUCUGGAAGACAGAUCAAAGACGACCCACGUCCGAUUUCAUGUACCAUGCACAAAGGCAUCUGUAUUACAUCGGAUCAAAGGGAGAAAAGAAUUUACUUUACGUUCUUCGCUUAACGUACGAUCUUUCUUCUAUUUUACAUACGAGUUAAACAGUUGAAAUGUUCUAAGAUAAAAAGCUAUUCACGAAUCUAAAAUAUCGUGUAUUCAAAUGUAACCAAUAUAAACGAUAUAACUUUUUAAACGAUACUUCAUAAUUUUUCACCUUUUCUUCCACUUUCAAAUGACUACAUAAUUUUUAUUACAAAUAUUUUAAGAAUAUUGAUAAAUAUUGAUAAGAAAAUUUCGAUAAGUUUGAAAAGUUA